CUUUUUAAAGGACAAAGAGGGCAAUGGAUAUCACACAUGGCACAUGUCUCAGAAACGCAAGUUUGAGCGGACACCUUUGGCUGAUGUUGAAGAAGUGAAAAGACUUAAACAGAAGUUUGGUCAUUCAAAAAAGUCUCUGCAACCUGAAAAAAGCACUUGCAAACAAAUUACAAGGCCUGUGGACAUGGAUGUUGUUGGAGAGGAUGCUACCUCAAUAGAGGGACAUGUGAAAGUCCUACAGGACCAAUAUUGAAAGACACAGCCAGAUACUCGUAUUGUUGAAGAGCGAAUGAGGAGGACCUUUGCCGGGAGGCGGAAGGAGAUUACUGGUGGGAUGACUGUUGAAGAUUUUGUCAACAAAUAUCCAUUCAUGAAGAGUCCAUCAGGGCUUUAUCAAGAAAUUGGUUUCCUGUAUAAAUCUGUUAAUCUCUGCCGGCACUUUCAAGAAAAUUUUGGAAACAUUGCAUCCAGUGUGCUACAGCUUGAGCAAGGGAAAUCUCCUUUAGCAAAGCCGCACAAAGAAGCUAGAGAAGAAUCUCUCGUUGAAGACCAUCUUAGUAAUUGACUUUUUUUAAACUUUAUCCUAUUUAUUAAAUGGACAGUUCACCCUAAACUGAAAAUUCUGUCAUUGAUUACUCACCCUCAUGUCUUUCCAAACCUGUAAGACUUUUGUUCAACACAAAUGAAGAUAUUUACAAGUACAGCCAUGUCAAUUGUAGGCAAACAGCUUCAGCGAGUAACAGAAGUAGAGAUUAAUGAUGUCAAAUAUUGUGUUAAAGAUGCGUUUACUGUGGGUCACCUGCAUGCAGAAGUUGUUCCAUUGUUUUUUCAGAUUAAGUACAUUCUUAACAUGGACACAGACUGGUUAUUGUGUGGCAAGCUGUGAAUUCUUGAAUCAUUUUGUCAACAUUAUUAUUCAUACUGUGUGAAAUAUGAGAAUGAAUGGACUGUCCUCUCACCAGGUGAGGAGGUUGAUUACCAGGCACUAGAUACCUACAGUGUUGAUGACAAAUUAUUUAUUAGCACUAGGUAUUCUUGCUGAAGAACCCUAUGCUGUAAACCUCAAUGUGCAGCACAUGAUAUAGCCUGUUUAAUUAGCUGUAUAUCAAUGUAUAACAGUUCUUUUAUUUUUCUGAUUUGAUUUGUAAGGAUUCUACAGUAUAGACAAUUUCUUGUAUUCCUGUUAAAAUUUUUUAAAGGCGUUACUGUUUUAAAAUACUGUUUUAUACCUCUGAUUAUAUUUGUUGAGUACUGUCUGAUGAGCUUUUAUGUGC